CCCGCAGUUUCUGGACCUAUUCUAACUGCAAACGGGGCAAGCGAUGGGAGGUUUCGGCGGCGAGCGGUAGCUGCGUGCGGCGUUGGUCCGGCCCCGUUUUCCGGCGGCGGGGUCGAGGCGGGUAGUGCUGAGGGAGGCUUCGUGGCUGGUGGUGGCCUCCUCGGCCGGCCGCCCCGCGGGAGGCUUCGCGGCAUGGUGGUUAGCCUGCACCUUGCGGGUAACCUCGACGACGUUGAUCACUAUGGAUAGCUCGACAAGUUCACCGAGGAGGCAUUUUUACCUCCGCCAUGUUGUGUUUCUCUCUCGUCUUGAACGACGGAGGCAGCGGUUCGGCCGCUCGGUGAUCUCGGUGUGCAUAGAGGAGGGCUGUGUGUCGCGGCGGCAGCCAACAGGAGAUGCAGCGGCUCGACCUCCUCUGUGACCUCAUCUCCAGUUGAAAUUGACAAGGCUGCCUCCCUGAACUCGCGCCGGCUGGAAUCAAUUGCGGCCUAGGUAACUCAGCGCCACUAGAGCUUCAGGUGCCUCACAAGUCACAAGAAAUCAAAAGUUCUAUCAUCAAAUUUUAGUCGACGAGGUAAAUCCUGCUAGCCACGUGUGUCAUGGCGGCGGCGGCUCGCCGCCACCAUUCCCAUUUCAUCUUUGCUCUGCAAGGUAAUAGAAGGAGGGCUCUAAUGGGAAUGAUGCUUGCCACCCCCACCUUCAUGACUGCUCCAGAUCCAUUCAAGGUGGUCAUCACUGUUAAAUCGUCCAGUGAGCUCAGUACCGUCCUACUCUCCCUAAAAUGCACAGUUGCAGAAACAACAUCUAUUGUGCACCAAAAAGGAUAAUUGCCCAUGUGUAAAAUGAGAUUUAUAUAUCAAAAGUUUUUGUCUGUUGA